rnacentral:pre_miRNA from 10 species
AUAGCUGUUGUAUUUCUUUCUUAUGCCGACAAUAUUUACUAGAGGUGGAAUGAAUAACCAUCUAGUAAGAGUGGCAGUCCAGGGGAAGGACUCUU